GUGAUGAUGGUGGUGAUGAUGGUGAUGGUGGUGAUGAUGGUGGUGAUGAUGGUGGUGGUGAUUGUGGUGGUGGUGAUGGUGGUGGUGGUGAUGGUGUUGAUGAUGGUGGUGGUGGUGAUGGUGAUGAUGAUGGUGGUGGUGAUUGUGGUGAUGGUCAUGAGGAUGAUGAUGAUGAUGGUGAUGGUGGUGAUGAUGGUGAUGGUGGUGAUGAUGGUGGUGAUGGUGGUGAUGGUGGUGAUGGUGAUGAUGGUGAAGAUGGUGAUGGUGGUGAUGGUGGUGGUAUUGGUG
ensembl:lncRNA